GAUGAAGAACGUAGCGAAAUGCGAUAAGUAAUGUGAAUUGCAGAAUUCAGUGAAUCAUCGAAUCUUUGAACGCACAUUGCGCCCGCCAGUAUUCUGGCGGGCAUGCCUGUUCGAGCGUCAUUUCAACCCUCAAGCCCCAGCGGCCUGGUGUUGGGGACCGGCGACCUCGCCCGAGCCCGCCCUCCGGGGCGCGUGCCCGUUGCGUCCGCCGCCCCCGAAAUGAAUUGGCGGCCUCGUCGCGGCCUCCUCUGCGUAGUAGCACAACCUCGCAAGCGGGAGCGCGACGCGGCCACUGCCGUAAAACGCCCAACUUUUUUAGAGUUGACCUCGGAUCAGGUAGGAAUACCCGCUGAACUUAAGCAUAUCAAUAAGCGGAGGA
rnacentral:misc_RNA from 1 species